rnacentral:rRNA from 1 species
UACGUAGGGGGCAAGCGUUGUUCGGAAUUACUGGGCGUAAAGGGCGCGUAGGCGGCACGGCAAGUCAGGAGUGAAAGGCCUGGGCUCAACCGAGGAACUGCUUUUGAGACUGCCGAGCUAGAGUGCAGAAGGGGCAACUGGAAUUCCCAGUGUAGCGGUGAAAUGCGUAGAUAUUGGGAAGAACACCUGAGGCGAAGGCGGCUCACUGGACCGGUAUUGACGCUGAGGUGCGAAAGCGUGGGGAGCAA